GCUACUACCGAUUGAAUGGCUCAGUGAGGCCUUCGGACUGGCCCAGGGAGGUCGGCAACGACCACCCAGGGCCGGAAAGUUGGUCAAACUCGGUCAUUUAGAGGAAGUAAAAGUCGUAACAAGGUCUCCGUAGGUGAACCUGCGGAGGGAUCAUUA
rnacentral:rRNA from 2 species